GAUGAACGCUGGCGGCGUGCCUAAUACAUGCAAGUCGAGCGAACGGACGAGAAGCUUGCUUUUCUGAUGUUAGCGGCGGACGGGUGAGUAACACGUGGAUAACCUACCUAUAAGACUGGGAUAACUUCGGGAAACCGGAGCUAAUACCGGAUAAUAUUUUGAACCGCAUGGUUCAAAAGUGAAAGACGGUCUUGCUGUCACUUAUAGAUGGAUCCGCGCUGCAUUAGCUAGUUGGUAAGGUAACGGCUUACCAACGCUACGAUGCAUAGCCGACCUGAGAGGGAGAACGGCCACACUGUAACUGAGACACGGUCCAGACACCUACGGGGGGCAGCAGUAGGGAAUCUUACGCGAUGGGCGAAAGCCUGACGGAGCAACGCCGCGUGAGUGAUGAAGGUCUUCGGAUCGGAAAGCGCUGAUAUUAGGGAAGAACACAUGUGUAAGUAACUGUGCACAUCUUGACGGUACCUAGUCAGAAAGCCACGGCUAACUACGUG
rnacentral:rRNA from 1 species